UACGGAGGGGCUAGCGUUGUUCGGAAUUACUGGGCGUAAAGCGCGCGUAGGCGGACCUGCAAGUCGGGGGUGAAACUCGAGGCUCAACCUCGAGACGUCGGUUGAAACCGUAAGGCUAGAGUCCGGAAGAGGAGAGUGGAAUUCCCGGUGUAGCGGUGAAAUGCGCAGAUAUCGGGAAGAACACCCGUGGCGAAGGCGGCUCUCUGGGACGGUACUGACGCUGAGACGCGAAAGCGUGGGGAGCGAACAGG
rnacentral:rRNA from 1 species